rnacentral:rRNA from 1 species
GACGAACGCUGGCGGCGUGCUUAACACAUGCAAGUCGAACGGAAAGGCCCUGCUUUUGUGGGUUGCUCGAGUGGCGAACGGGUGAGUAACACGUGAGUAACCUGCCCUUGACUUUGGGAUAACUUCAGGAAACGGGGGCUAAUACCGGAUAGGAUCUCCUUCUGCAUUGUUGGGUUUGGAAAGGUUCGUCGGUUGGGGAUGGACUCGCGGCUUAUCAGCUUGUUGGUGGGGUAGUGGCUUACCAAGGCUUUGACGGGUAGCCGGCCUGAGAGGGUGACCGGCCACAUUGCGACUGAGAUGCGGCCCAGACUCCUACGGGAGGCAGCAGUGGGGAAUAUUGCACAAUGGGCGGAAGCCUGAUGCAGCAACGCCGCGUGCGGGAUGACGGCCUUCGGGUUGUAAACCGCUUUCGCCUGUGACGAAGCGUGAGUGACGGUAAUGGGUAAAGAAGCACCGGCUAACUACGUG